AUCUGUGUCACCCAGAGGUGCUUUUAGGUUUUAAAUUCUGUAUUAACGGUUGUUUUCUUUCCAGACUGCAAAAUUCAAAAUGGGGCUCAAGGUAUUCGUUUCAUCUACACCAGAGAAGGCAGACCAAGUGGCGAGGCUUUUGUUGAACUUGAAUCAGAAGAUGAAGUCAAAUUGGCCCUGAAAAAAGACAGAGAAACUAUGGGACACAGAUAUGUUGAAGUAUUCAAGUCAAACAACGUUGAAAUGGAUUGGGUGUUGAAGCAUACUGGUCCAAAUAGUCCUGACACGGCCAAUGAUGGCUUUGUACGGCUUAGAGGACUUCCCUUUGGAUGUAGCAAGGAAGAAAUUGUUCAGUUCUUCUCAGGUAUAUUGAAAUCUUUAAGAGCAGUAGAGCUGAAGUUAGAACUCACUAUGAUCCACCACGAAAGCUUAUGGCCAUGCAGCGGCCAGGUCCUUAUGACAGACCUGGGGCUGGUAGAGGGUAUAACAGCAUUGGCAGAGGAGCUGGCUUUGAGAGGAUGAGGCGU
rnacentral:sRNA from 1 species